rnacentral:rRNA from 1 species
UACGGAGGGUGCAAGCGUUAAUCGGAAUUACUGGGCGUAAAGCGUGCGUAGGCGGUUCGUUAAGUCUGUUGUGAAAGCCCCGGGCUCAACCUGGGAAUGGCAAUGGAUACUGGCGAGCUAGAGUGUGUCAGAGGAUGGUGGAAUUCCCGGUGUAGCGGUGAAAUGCGUAGAGAUCGGGAGGAACACCAGAGGCGAAGGCGGCGACCUGGACAGGAACUGACACUCAACUACGAAAGCGUGGGGAGCAAACAGG